ensembl:lncRNA
GUGUACAUAUAUAGAUUUUUAUUGAACUUUUGCAUUCAUACUGAAAUUGGAUGUACUGAACAAUGUGUAUGUAUGUUUCACUCAAGUGUGUGUGUGUGUGUGUGUGUGUCUACUUGUAUAAAUAUACAAAUAAACACCCAAUAGAGUAAACCCACCUUAUCAGUUGGUGGUCAUGCAUGCAGGGGCUGCAAAUAACUUAAAAGCCUCAACUGCAUUAACCUUUACUGCCAACUUUGCAAAACGAUAAACUUUAAAGUUGCCAUAUGUUUAACUGUUUUAAAUUUUCAGGAUUCUAACUACAGCUUCCAAUGACAAAAUCAAAAAUUGUACUGACCAGAAAUUUGCCUUUCAGCAUCCAGUUAUAUGUCUUGAAGUUAAUAUCCUGUACUCAAAUUGUAGCUUUUCACCGAGCUGCUGUUUCUAAGCAUUGGUUUAUUAGCUUAUAUAGCAACUAAAAAUGUACAGUGUUUAAUUAUUGUUCAAUAGGAUCUGGAGUAAUAUGUCAGAGUUUAACAGACUUGUUUUAAAAACGAGUCCAACAGAAUUUGAGAUAUUUAGACCACCACAGCUUUGACACACUUUGUCUUAUCAGAUCAAUCACUCUGUAUACGUAACUAUGCUCUUUUAUAGAGUGUAGGCCGGCUCUGGGUUUGUAAUUAUUAGUCAAUUGAAACCACAAUUUGCAAACACUUAUCUUGGCAACAGAUACAUAAUCAAAGCAUGCAGUGCAUUUUCUUGUGUAAACUGUUAAACCAGAAAAGAAAUGCGGCGUGGGUGUUGUGAAAUAGGUGUUCUUUUUAUUCAGAACUGUGAACUUAUGUCAUACAGUUUGAUGUGUUUUAUCCAGUUCUGUUUAGUGCACCGUAGCAAAUAGCCGUGGAUACUCAUGAACAUCGUGUGCCUCAGAUUGUCAGGUUACCAACAGCUGUUAUCCAAACAUUGUAAUGCCAUCAUGUUAAUAUGUAGUUGCAAUCUUAAUCUACCUAUACCACAUUUAGUCCAGAGGUGACAAAUAUGCUAAGUGGCAACUUUGGGGAUGUGUAAAUGUUGAUCUAAUAAUGUUUUAAAAUAAUGACAUUUGGCUGUGUUAUCUUUUAACAGCAUGAUGUACUGUAUAUUUUGUUUUUCAAACUAAUGGACAAACAUGGUGCUCGUUAAAGCCAUGUCCUGCUGCAAAACAUGAAUUGUGCAUGAAUAAAAUAAUGAAAUGCAUUUACGCUGCAUCGUCAG